rnacentral:rRNA from 1 species
AUUGAACGCUGGCGGCAUGCUUUACACAUGCAAGUCGGACGAGUGGCGAACGGGUGAGUAAUAUAGUGGAACGUAGCUAAUAAUGGGAGAUAACCAAUCGAACACUUGGCUAAUACCGCAUAAUGUUCGAGCGGCCAAUAUUUGAUUAUCUAGUUGGUGGGGUAAAGGCGUACCAAGGCGACGAUCCGUAGCAGGUCUGAGAGGGUGAUCCGCCAAACUGGGACUGAGACACGGCCCAGACUCCUACGGGAGGCAGCAGUGGGGAAUUUUGGACAAUGGGCGAAAGCCUGAUCCAGCCAUGCCGCGUGUCUGAAGAAGGCCUUCGGGUUGUAAAGGACUGUUGUUAGGGAAGCGGUACCUAAAGAAUAAGCACCGGCUAACUACGUGCCAGCCGCCGCGGUAAUAC